rnacentral:sRNA from 1 species
GGGCUACUGACUACGCUCUAUACCCUUUGUGACAUACCUAUAACUGUUGCUUCGGCGGGUAGGGUCUCCGUGACCCUCCCGGCCUCCCGCCCCCGGGCGGGUCGGCGCCCGCCGGAGGAUAACCAAACUCUGAUUUAACGACGUUUCUUCUGAGUGGUACAAGCAAAUAAUCAAAACUUUUAACAACGGAUCUCUUGGUUCUGGCAUCGAUGAAGAACGCAGCGAAAUGCGAUAAGUAAUGUGAAUUGCAGAAUUCAGUGAAUCAUCGAAUCUUUGAACGCACAUUGCGCCCGCCAGCAUUCUGGCGGGCAUGCCUGUUCGAGCGUCAUUUCAACCCUCAAGCUCUGCUUGGUGUUGGGGCCCUACAGCUGAUGUAGGCCCUCAAAGGUAGUGGCGGACCCUCCCGGAGCCUCCUUUGCGUAGUAACUUUACGUCUCGCACUGGGAUCCGGAGGGACUCUUGCCGUAAAACCCCCAAUUCUCCAAAGGUUGACCUCGGAUCAGGUAGGAAUACCCGCUGAACUUAAGCAUAUCAUAGACCCGGAGGAA